GACGAACGCUGGCGGCGUGCUUAACACAUGCAAGUCGAACGGAAAGGCCCUGCUUUUGUGGGGUGCUCGAGUGGCGAACGGGUGAGUAACACGUGAGUAACCUGCCCUUGACUUUGGGAUAACUUCAGGAAACUGGGGCUAAUACCGGAUAGGAGCUCCUGCUGCAUGGUGGGGGUUGGAAAGUUUCGGCGGUUGGGGAUGGACUCGCGGCUUAUCAGCUUGUUGGUGGGGUAGUGGCUUACCAAGGCUUUGACGGGUAGCCGGCCUGAGAGGGUGACCGGCCACAUUGGGACUGAGAUACGGCCCAGACUCCUACGGGAGGCAGCAGUGGGGAAUAUUGCACAAUGGGCGGAAGCCUGAUGCAGCAACGCCGCGUGCGGGAUGACGGCCUUCGGGUUGUAAACCGCUUUCGCCUGUGACGAAGCGUGAGUGACGGUAAUGGGUAAAGAAGCACCGGCUAACUACGUGCCAGCAGCCGCGGUGAUACGUAGGGUGCGAGCGUUGUCCGGAUUUAUUGGGCGUAAAGGGCUCGUAGGUGGUUGAUCGCGUCGGAAGUGUAAUCUUGGGGCUUAACCCUGAGCGUGCUUUCGAUACGGGUUGACUUGAGGAAGGUAGGGGAGAAUGGAAUUCCUGGUGGAGCGGUGGAAUGCGCAGAUAUCAGGAGGAACGCCAGUGGCGAAGGCGGUUCUCUGGGCCUUUCCUGACGCUGAGGAGCGAAAGCGUGGGGAGCGAACAGGCUUAGAUACCCUGGUAGUCCACGCUGUAAACGGUGGGUACUAGGUGUGGGGUCCAUUCCACGGGUUCCGUGCCGUAGCUAACGCUUUAAGUACCCCGCCUGGGGAGUACGGCCGCAAGGCUAAAACUCAAAGGAAUUGACGGGGCCCCGCACAAGCGGCGGAGCAUGCGGAUUAAUUCGAUGCAACGCGUAGAACCUUACCUGGGUUUGACAUGGAUCGGGAGUGCUCAGAGAUGGGUGUGCCUCUUUUGGGGUCGGUUCACAGGUGGUGCAUGGCUGUCGUCAGCUCGUGUCGUGAGAUGUUGGGUUGAGUCCCGCAACGAGCGCAACCCUUGUUCACUGUUGCCAGCACGUUAUGGUGGGGACUCAGUGGAGACCGCCGGGGCCAACUCGGAGGAAGGUGGGGAUGACGUCAAGUCAUCAUGCCCCUUAUGUCCAGGGCUUCACGCAUGCUACAAUGGCUGGUACAGAGAGUGGCGAGCCUGUGAGGGUGAGCGAAUCUCGGAAAGCCGGUCUCAGUUCGGAUUGGGGUCUGCAACUCGACCUCAUGAAGUCGGAGUCGCUAGUAAUCGCAGAUCAGCAACGCUGCGGUGAAUAAAUUCCCGGG
rnacentral:rRNA from 1 species